ensembl:lncRNA
AAUAUAGUUAAAGUAUACAUCAAUAUAUUUUAUAACUUUUUUCUGACAUUUAUUGAUCAAAAUACAGUCUUUGUAAAUGGAUUUCCAAAAGUAGAAAUGGUUACAAAUAAUAACAUUUUACUAAAACUCUCCUGUCUCUGUGUCAGUUUAAUGGUGUCAUCAUUUCAGUUUGGGUCUGUUGUGUUGAGGGUUUGGUAGGUGGAGUCUUGGGUUGUUGUAUUGAGGGUUUGGUAGGUGGAGUCUUGGGUUGAUGUGUUGAGGGUUUGGCAGGUGGAGUCUUGGGUUGUUGUGUUGAGGGUUUGGCAGGUGGAGUCUUGGGUUGAUGUGUUGAGGGUUUUGUAGGUGGAGUCUUGGGUUGUUGUAUUGAGGGUUUGGUAGGUGGAGUCUUGGGUUGUUGUGUUGAGGGUUUGGUAGGUGGAGUCUUGGGUUGCUGUGUUGAGGGUUUGGUAGGUGGAGUCUUGGGUUGUUGUGUUGAGGGUUUGGUAGGUGGAGUCUUGGGUUGCUGUGUUGAGGGUUUGGUAGGUGGAGUCUUGGGUUGCUAUGUUGAGGGUUUGGUAGGUGGAGUCUUGGGUUGCUAUGUUGAGGGUUUGGUAGGAGGAGUCUUGGGUUGUUGUGUCUGGAUUGGUGACUGGCCCUGUGGAACACAACAUAUAAAUCAUGUGUGUGUACGUGCAGUGGUGUGGUAGUGGUGUAGUAGUGUAGUGGUGUAGUAGUGUAGUAGUGUAGUGCUGUAGUAGUGUAGUAGAGGUGUAGUAGAGGUGUAGUGGUGUAGUAGUGUAGUGGUGUAGUAGUGUAGUAGUGUAGUGGUGUAGUAGUGUAGUGGUGUAGUAGUGUAGUAGUGUAGUAGUGUAGUAGUGUAGUAGUGUAGUAGUGUAGUGGUGUAGUAGUGUAGUGGUGUAGUAGUGGUGUAGUAGUGUAGUAGUGUAGUUGUGCCUGGAGCAGUGGGUAUACUCUAAUUUUGCCCAAAAUGUCCCAAACGGCCCACCUGAAUGACCUAAAAUUAUACAUCUUCCACAGUCAGGUAAACCCAAGCUGUACUGUGCUGGCCUGAAUAUUUUCUUCAUGCUAACAGUUCUAGCAGGAGUAUCCAGGCCAAUCUGGGCUUGGCUUGGCAUGGCUGAGUGUCAGCUUAG